UGGGUUUGACAUCCUCUGACAAUUAUAGAAAUAUAACUUUUUCAGCAAUGAAACAGAGAGAU
rnacentral:rRNA from 1 species